rnacentral:lncRNA from 1 species
GAGCUCCAUCUCGUAUUGGGCUCCCUAUGGCUCUUGAAGCUCCAUCUCAUACUAGGCUCUCUAUCAUGUAGUAAUGUCCUCUCAUCCUCUUCUCUUCCUCUAAAAUAAUCCUAUUACCAUGCAUAACCUUCAGAAUUUCAUCACCAGCUAUCCACCUAUAGUCCUUUGAAUCCAGUCUGCUCAGUGAGAUAAGAUUUCAUCUAAAAUC